AAUAAUUUAUUAGUAAAUGUUUAAUCAUUAAAAUUAAAUUAUAUGGCGGCUUUUUAUUUUAAUUAGAGAAAUUUGUAAUUUAAUUUGAUAAUCCACGAUAAGAACUACUUAAAUUUAUACUUAUAUAUUGUUGUUUAUUUUUAUAUAAAAUUAUUUUUUAGAAAUAUUUUUUAAAAUAGUUAAUCAAAUCAAAAUGUAGUAUAUUUAAGAAUAUUAUGAAUUAUAAUAAAUUAUAUUUUUGGAAAAUUUAUUUUAAUAUAAAUUUGAAAGAGUAUUUAAUAGUAAAUUUAAUUAAUUAAUUAAAUUGAAUAAAAUUAUAAAAAGUGUACAAAUUGCCCGUCAAUUUCAUUUUAUGGAAUAAG
rnacentral:rRNA from 1 species